CAGCCUCCUCCCUCUGGUGUUUAGCAGGUUUGCAUGUCCUAUAAGCAUUUUUUUAAGUGAAAACUUGGAACGCCACCUCCUUCCUAGCAUCCAGCCCGCCAGCAUCCCGGGGACACAGAAGUGGCCAUUAGUCUGAUGGGCUCAAAUACCCAAACAGAACUCAGAGCGUCUGAAAAUAUAAACGUGCAACAAUUGUGAGUGGCCAAGGUGGCAGAGUAAGAAGACCCACAGCUUACCUCCUUCUACAGGCACAUCCAAACUACAGCUAUUUACAGAGCAACCAACCAUUGAUUAAAGAAAGCUAGCAGAAAAGAUCUUCUACAACUAAAAGUAUGAAGAAGGAAGCACAACAAGACAGUUAUGGUGACCAUGAAGGGACCAGAGCCAACGUUUCUCCUUUGCCUGAACUCUACAAGGAUCCAGAGCCUUGGUACCAGCAGGACCUCUUUUGCACACCUGGCUCAUCAGAGUCUAGACAACUUAGUUCUGGAAGCUACUGGAAGUCCGAAAUCAAGGUGCCAACAGGGCCACACUCUCUCCAACGCUCUAGGGAGACAUUAGCCACCUAGGGGUGGUGGCUAGGAGGGACCUAGUGAAACCACACCUCAGAGAUGGGACUCACUUGAACCAAGUCACACCUCAGAUGGGACUCGAACCCACAGUCUUCCAGCUGAAACCGCACAGCUUGUCUCAGGACUUGAUGAAGCUCGAUUUCUUUAUGUCUCUGCAGGGAGAGGCAAAGUAAAAGCAACCCAGUGAUCCCUUCCCAUGGCCAACUGGUGGUGUUGGUUUUUGUGUACGUCCUUCCAGAGAUAUUUUAUGAAUAUUCAAGCAAGUAUAUAUAUUCUCUUCUCUCUCCUUGCCCUGUUUUGGGUAUUACUUGAUAUAUACUGUUUUUGUCUAUGGCCAUACCACCCUGAAUGCACCUGAUCUUGUCUGAUAUAUAUUGUUUUGCAUUUUCCUUUUUUGAUUUAACAACACACCUUGGGCAUCACUUUAGUUCCUUCUUUCUUUUUUUAAAGUGACACAGUUUCACUAUAUACCAUAGCUUACUGGGCGAAUCCCUUUGGAUGGAUACUUGAUGAUGUCUAAUCUUUUGCUCUUGCUGCUAGUGGUGCAAUGAAUAUCUUAGUAUCCUAUUACUUCUCCCAGGUGUGAGUCUAUCUGGAAGAUAACGGUCUGCAAGUGGAAAUGUAGGGUCAAAGGAUACAUGCAUUUGUAAUUUUUUUUUAAGUUUUUUUUUUUUUUUUGAUGUGGAC